rnacentral:rRNA from 1 species
AUACGGAGGAUCCGAGCGUUAUCCGGAUUUAUUGGGUUUAAAGGGUGCGCAGGCGGGGGAUUAAGUCGGCGGGGAAAUUUUGCAGCUCAACUGUAAAAGUGCCUUUGAAACUGGUUUCCUUGAGUGGAGAUGAAGUAGGCGGAAUUUGUGGUGUAGCGGGGAAAUGGGUAGAUAUCACGAGGAACUCCGAUUGCGCAGGCAGCUUACUAAACUACUACUGACGCUCAGGCACGAAGGCGUGGGGAUCAAACAGGAUUAGAUACCCUGGUAGUCCACGCAGUAAACGAUGAUUACUAGCUGUUUGCGAUACAAUGUAAGCGGCUGAGCGAAAGCGUUAAGUAAUCCACCUGGGGAGUACGUUCGCAAGAAUGAAACUCAAAGGAAUUGACGGGG